rnacentral:lncRNA from 1 species
CGGGAGGUUCUCGCGAUCUCCCCGUCCACGCCUGCGCCGCGAGAGGCCGCUAGGUGGAAGGGGACUUCGGUUCCGCACGUCGUCAUGUUGUUGGAUGGCACCAGUAUGUGACGUUCCUAGGAACUUAGCUCUGAGGAAAAAACAAAGCAAACCGGGGAAGUACGUAGCCUUGAACCGGAGUAACCAGGGACAGAAAGGAAGGAAAAGGGUUUCAUACCUUCACGGAACGACGCUCACUUCGUCCGCCUGAGGAGGAAAAAUAAGUUUAAACCUUUCUGUGAAAAAGAACGUGGAGCCCUUUCUGCCGAAUGGAAACCCGCUAAACCCCGUUAUGGAGUCUGCUACAAUUAAGCAUCUAACCAGGAAUUGUCUAUGGACACAACUCUCCAGGCAAUUCAUGCAGAAAGUGUGUUGACGAUUUCCUGUUUCUUGCAGAGCGCUUCACCGUUAAGGCUCUUAGUAGCUGGCGAUUGUAAAGCACAUUUUCCGCUUCAUGAAAAUACAGUGCUCUUCUUGUGUUUGUAACCUUGGAAAAAGUCAGACCUGCACCACAGUCUGAAGUCUCUCUGCCAAUUCCUGAGCCUUCCCACUUUAUCCUUCACAAACAUUUCCCCCAAUAAAUAUCUUGCAUGUCUAA